CAGGCAGGGUGUAUCGGUCGCUCUCUAUUUCGGUAGAGGGAGGAAAGUCCGGACUCCGCAGGGCAGGACGUCCCGUGGUUAACGCGGGAACCUCUGUGCAAUAUCGCAGGGGAUGGAAAGUGCCACAGAAAUUAUACCGCCCCGAUUCGUCGGGGUAAGGGUGAAACGGUGGGGUAAGAGCCCACCGCCCCGAGGGCAACCGAGGGGGCAGGGCAAACCCCGUCCGGAGCAAGAUCAAAUAGGAAAUGAGAAGCGGUCCGCUUCGUUUGAGUUUCGGGUUGAUCGCACUAGAUAAAUGACUGACUCCGCAAGGAGAACAGAAUCCGGCUUACCGC
rnacentral:RNase_P_RNA from 1 species